rnacentral:rRNA from 1 species
CUACGGAGGGGGCUAGCGUUGUUCGGAAUCACUGGGCGUAAAGCGCGCGUAGGUGGAUCAAUUAGUUGAGGGUGAAAUCCCGGGGCUCAACCUCGGAACUGCCUUCAAUACUGUUGAUCUUGAGACCGAGAGAGGUGAGUGGAAUUCCUAGUGUAGAGGUGAAAUUCGUAGAUAUUAGGAAGAACACCAGUGGCGAAGGCGGCUCACUGGCUCGGUACUGACGCUGAGGUGCGAAAGCGUGGGGAGCAAACAGGAUUAGAUACCCUAGUAGUCC